GACGAACGCUGGCGGCGCGCCUAACACAUGCAAGUCGAACGAGCGAGAGAGAGCUUGCUUUCUCAAGCGAGUGGCGAACGGGUGAGUAACGCGUGAGGAACCUGCCUCAAAGAGGGGGACAACAGUUGGAAACGACUGCUAAUACCGCAUAAGCCCACGACCCGGCAUCGGGUAGAGGGAAAAGGAGCAAUCCGCUUUGAGAUGGCCUCGCGUCCGAUUAGCUAGUUGGUGAGGUAACGGCCCACCAAGGCGACGAUCGGUAGCCGGACUGAGAGGUUGAACGGCCACAUUGGGACUGAGACACGGCCGAGACUCCUACGGGAGGCAGCAGUGGGGAAUAUUGCACAAUGGGGGAAACCCUGAUGCAGCGACGCCGCGUGGAGGAAGAAGGUCUGCGGAUUGUAAACUCCUGUUGUUGAGGAAGAUAAUGACGGUACUCAACAAGGAAGAGACGGCUAACUACGUG
rnacentral:rRNA from 1 species